rnacentral:lncRNA from 1 species
CUACCUGGAGAGUUGCUAGGGGAUGCUCAGGAGCUAAGUGACUUGUCCAAGGUCACAUAGUCAGUAUAUGUCACAAGCAGAAUCACACAUUUUAUGCUACAAAGAAUCUUAGAGGCUAUGUAGCCCAGAUUAAAAAAAACCCAACAAACUAUCCAAGAUUAUCAAAGUAGUAGGGGACGUGAUUAGAACUUUAGUCUGGGUCUCCUUGCCUCUAAGGUUAGUUAUCUCAUCAUUAGAGUAUUUUCCCACAUAUUUGUUUACAUGUUAUGUGUGUGUGUGUACAUAGACAGACACAUACAAACUCUACCAAUAUUGACCAUUUCAUUGUCAAUAAUGAUGUGAGAGGUUCAUGUCUAGCCUGGCCCUAGUCUGAUGUCCUAUGCAAGCUGCUUUCUGGAUAUCACACUGAGAAGCUCUGACUACGUUCCUUGCUGAAUGCAUGAGCCCUUUGCUUCAGACUCUGUUCUGGCUUGGUGACAGCAUGAUCUGCCAGCUGCUUCCCUGCAGACAGCAGCCACUUGCGAAAUUCUGCUUCAGUGACAUUUUACAGUGCUGGAUGUGUGAGCGAUCGUUUGGCCCAUGUAUCCUUUAAGGGAAGAAAACAACUUCAUGACUGCCUUACCAAUUUGCAUUGGAUUAGAAUAUUGAGAUCCCAGAGGAUGUCUAACUACUCCUCUUUGGAUUCUAUAGGGUUUACUUCUGAGCAAGCUGUAGUCAAUGGACAAGUCUCUUCCUUUUUGAUCUUGACUGCCUCCUUACUGGGUCAAGAUGAAGAAACUGAGGCAAAUAAGGUGAAAUGACUUGACCAAGUCCACUAAACCAGUGAUCCUUUGUCUGGAAUGACCUCACCGCCAUCUUGCAAUACAUCACAUUAGCAAAGAGGCUGAUGGGAAGUUUUGUAUUCUAUAGCUAGAAGGAGGUACUGAAGAACUAAUGAAAGGACCUAACAACUGGGCUAAACUUGUGGCCUUUUAGUCCCACGGAGAGGAGGGACCAAGAAAGUAUGAAUACAUACCAAUGCUAGGCAAGUCAAUUGAGAGUGAAUGGUGCUGUUACCCUGAACUGAAUAAAAUAAUGAGCAAUUGAACCUUUGUCUGUCUC